GGCCAACUACGUGCCAGCAGCCGCGGUGAUACGUAGGGUGCAAGCGUUAUCCGGAUUUAUUGGGCGUAAGGAGCUCGUAGGCGGUUUGAUUAGUCGGGUGUGAAACCUCCAGGCUUAACCUGGAGCCGCCACUCGAUACUGUCAUGACUAGAAUUCGGUAGGGGACCACGGAAUUCCUGGUGUAGCGGUGAAAUGCGCAGAUAUCAGGAGGAACACCAGCAGCGAAGGCGGUGGUCUGGGCCGACAUUGACGCUGAGGAGCGAAAGCGUGGGGAGCGAACAGGAUUAGAUACCCUGGUAGUCCACGCCGUAAACGUUGGGCACUAGGUGUGGGGACUAUUCAACGGUUUCCGUGCCGCAGCUAACGCAUUAAGUGCCCCGCCUGGGGAGUACGGCCGCAAGGCUAAAACUCAAAGGAAUUGACGGGGGCCCGCACAAGCGGCGGAGCAUGUGGCUUAAUUCGAGGCAACGCGAAGAACCUUACCUGGGUUUGACAUGUAGGGAAAAGCCGUAGAGAUACGGUGUCCUUCGGGGCCUUACACAGGUGGUGCA
rnacentral:rRNA from 1 species